CCCACGCUCGCCUUUCGUCCUCUUGCCAUCCCUGCCCCUCCCUGCCCCGGAUUCAGCACGGCGCCGGCCGCGGUCUGACAGGAACGGGACGGAGCCAAGAUGGCGGCGGCUGACGGCGACGACUCGCUCUAUCCCAUCGCGGUGCUGAUAGACGAGCUCCGCAACGAGGAUGUUCAGCUUCGCCUCAACAGCAUCAAGAAACUGUCCACCAUCGCCCUGGCCCUUGGAGUGGAAAGGACCCGCAGCGAGCUCCUGCCCUUCCUGACAGACACCAUCUACGAUGAGGACGAGGUCCUCUUGGCCCUGGCGGAACAGCUGGGAACCUUCACCACUCUGGUGGGAGGCCCUGAGUACGUGCACUGCCUGCUGCCGCCCCUGGAGUCGCUGGCCACGGUGGAGGAGACGGUGGUGCGGGACAAAGCAGUGGAGUCCUUGCGGGCCAUCUCACACGAACACUCGCCCUCUGACCUUGAGGCCCACUUCGUGCCGCUGGUGAAGCGGCUGGCGGGCGGCGACUGGUUCACCUCCCGCACCUCAGCUUGUGGCCUCUUCUCGGUCUGCUACCCCCGCGUGUCCAGCGCCGUCAAGGCAGAACUUCGCCAGUACUUCCGGAACCUGUGCUCAGACGACACCCCCAUGGUGCGGCGGGCCGCAGCCUCCAAGCUGGGGGAGUUCGCCAAGGUGCUGGAGCUGGACAACGUCAAGAGCGAGAUCAUCCCCAUGUUCUCCAACCUGGCCUCCGACGAGCAGGACUCGGUGCGGCUGCUGGCGGUGGAGGCGUGUGUGAACAUUGCCCAGCUCCUGCCCCAGGAGGAUCUGGAGGCCCUGGUGAUGCCCACCCUGCGCCAGGCUGCCGAGGACAAGUCCUGGCGCGUCCGGUACAUGGUGGCCGACAAGUUCACAGAGCUCCAGAAAGCAGUGGGGCCUGAGAUCACCAAGACAGACCUAGUCCCCGCCUUCCAGAACUUGAUGAAAGACUGUGAGGCCGAGGUGAGGGCCGCAGCCUCCCACAAGGUCAAAGAAUUCUGUGAAAAUCUCUCAGCCGACUGUCGGGAGAACGUGAUCAUGACACAGAUACUACCCUGCAUCAAGGAGCUGGUGUCAGACGCCAACCAACACGUGAAGUCAGCUUUGGCCUCUGUCAUCAUGGGCCUCUCCCCCAUCCUGGGCAAAGACAACACCAUUGAGCACCUCUUGCCCCUCUUUCUGGCUCAGCUAAAGGAUGAGUGCCCGGAGGUGAGGCUGAACAUCAUCUCCAACCUGGACUGCGUGAACGAGGUCAUCGGCAUCCGGCAGCUGUCCCAGUCCCUGCUGCCCGCCAUCGUGGAGCUGGCCGAAGAUGCCAAGUGGCGGGUGCGGCUGGCCAUCAUCGAGUACAUGCCCCUGCUGGCCGGACAGCUGGGGGUAGAAUUUUUUGAUGAGAAGCUCAACUCCUUGUGCAUGGCAUGGCUUGUGGAUCAUGUCUAUGCCAUCCGUGAGGCUGCCACCAGCAACCUGAAGAAGCUGGUGGAGAAAUUUGGGAAGGAGUGGGCCCAUGCCACCAUCAUCCCCAAGGUCUUAGCCAUGUCCGGGGACCCCAACUACCUGCACCGCAUGACUACGCUCUUCUGCAUCAAUGUGCUGUCUGAGGUCUGUGGGCAGGACAUCACCACCAAGCACAUGCUGCCUACAGUUCUGCGCAUGGCUGGGGAUCCUGUCGCCAACGUCCGCUUCAAUGUGGCCAAGUCCCUACAGAAGAUAGGGCCUAUCCUGGACAAUAGCACACUGCAGAGUGAAGUCAAGCCCAUCCUAGAGAAGCUGACCCAGGACCAGGAUGUGGAUGUCAAGUACUUUGCCCAGGAGGCUCUGACUGGUCACCCGAAUUCUAACUGAUGCAGGGGCCAAAGAGCCCUGGAGAGAGGAGCAGGAGACUUAGUGGAUGGUGAAUGAAAACCAUCAUGGCCCAGACCAUGAGCUCCAAACAUAACACGUUAUGGGAUGAUAACGCUACAUACUGUAAGUCUCUGGUGCUGUCAGAGAACAGUAUCCAAAAUCCUCUGUGUUUGUGAUGUUUUUGUUGCUCCGUUUACCAAUGAUAUACAUGAGAAAACUGUAUUUACCAGCAUGUGCAGGAUCCAGCACAGGAAUAUGGACAUGCUUCUGUACUUGGGGGCUUUCACUUUAAGCUCUGUCUACCUGGAGUUCCUGGGACUGAUCCUGAUGGCCUGGAAGACACUUACAAGGCAGGUGUUACCCAGAGACAUCCUUGCCCACUCUGUGAACAUACGAAAAGUGUUUGCAUCCAAAAUCAUUGAGGAAAUGUCUCAACCCAAAAGGAAUCAUUGUGGGGGGACUCCUUUAGACAGAAUGCCCGAUGAGUAGGCUAUAAUCAGGUGUUUAAGAAUCAAAUCUAUGGGCCUUGACUUGCAAAGAAAAGGAUGAUACAAUGGUGAAGAAGAGAGCUGUUGCCCCGGGUUCCAGCUGUAGUCUGUGAUGAUGUCAUCCCCACUGUCAAAUCAAUCCCUGGCAGCUAUCUUUUCAGUUUCCAGUGACCGAAUUUGUCUCCUGAGCUAAAGGACCCUGAAAUGAGCACAGGUUCGAUGUAUCAUGUCAACUAAGUCCAAUGUUCUCCACUUACCAGUAGUUCUAAGAAAUGUUGACUUGAUGUUUUUCUUUUACUAAGAGUUUUCCAGAGGCUCUUCUAAAGAGCCCUCAUAAUAUAAAAUCAGUCUUGUGAAGGCACUCAUCUGAAUGAAGCCUUCAUGCUUCACAAGUCAAUGAGGCCGGCACUGCUAUGGCUGUAAGUAGCGGAUGAAGAGAACAUACACAGAAAAGUUAAGCAUUUGUCAAAGUUUGCUGCUUAGGGCAGAGUGGGGACCUGAAAUGGGUUGGACUGUGUCAAAAAUCCAGAAUCAAAACACCCAAAUCAACAAACAGUAUUUAGUAAGAGUUUAUUGUGCAUAUGAGAAACGUUCAUGAACAGGGAGCUUUCAGAUUUAAAGCUGAUAUGAAGGUCAGGGCAUAAUGUUACAGGAUGCCUUAUAAAGAGAUUACAGUGAUUGGUUAUUACAAAGGGGGUUUCCAGAUGACAAGGGAUUGGUUAAAAGUGAUUAUCUUGUACCACUUUUAGGAAGAGAAGUGUUUAUGAUUUUCAGAGACUUUCACAAGAAAUAACCUAUAUUUUGCUUAUGCUCAUGAAAUAAGCUAGAUUUUAGUUUUUCUUAUGUGUCUUCAGUGGUUUUGUCUGCUCAUGGAAUUUACAAGUCCAGCGUCCAUUUUGUAUGUAAUUUAAUAGCUGGUAACAAAUACAGUGUGCUAAACUACCAAACUACUAAAAGCUAGUUAGCUGUGUUCAUCAAACCAUCAAAAUUUAUAUUAGUUUUCAUUUUACACCUUGUCAUUUGACUUUAGAUUUUUGUUACUUGCAGUGUUGGAUAUAACAAGUUUUCAUCUAUUUGUAAAGGUAUAAAUCUUGAUAUCUUUGGCCUAUAAAAGCCAGUAUCAAUUAUGAAUAAAGCUUUAGAUAACUUAAUAAA